GAUGAACGCUGGCGGCGUGCCUAAUACAUGCAAGUCGAGCGAACAGACGAGGAGCUUGCUCCUCUGACGUUAGCGGCGGACGGGUGAGUAACACGUGGAUAACCUACAUAUAAGACUGGGAUAACUUCGGGAAACCGGAGCUAAUACCGGAUAAUAUAUUGAACCGCAUGGUUCAAUAGUGAAAGACGGUUUUGCUGUCACUUAUAGAUGGAUCCGCGCCGCAUUAGCUAGUUGGUAAGGUAACGGCUUACCAAGGCAACGAUGCGUAGCCGACCUGAGAGGGUGAUCGGCCACACUGGAACUGAGACACGGUCCAGACUCCUACGGGAGGCAGCAGUAGGGAAUCUUCCGCAAUGGGCGAAAGCCUGACGGAGCAACGCCGCGUGAGUGAUGAAGGUCUUCGGAUCGUAAAACGCUGUUAUUAGGGAAGAACAAAUGUGUAAGUAACUAUGCACGUCUUGACGGUACCUAAUCAGAAAGCCACGGCUAACUACGU
rnacentral:rRNA from 1 species